AAAAAAAAAAGAUUUUGAGUCCCACAAAUAAGGCAUCUUGCAACACAUUAUUAGCUUAGAAAGAACCCCACUGGAUUGAUUUAGUAUGCUUUGAAUCGAUUAGCUUAGAGAACCCCACUUGAUUGAUUCGCUCUACUGAUAGCGGUACAUUUGAUUCGCGUGCCUGAUGAAGUCCAUCUCGACCGGUUCUGUCGGCAGUUCGGCUACCAGUUUCCUCGUUAACAUCCAUCGGAAAACGGUUCUGCUGGGAAUUGGGAUCACAGGAAGUUGCUGCACACCUAUUAUCUGCUGGGAAUUGGGAUCACAGGAAGUUGCUGCACACCAAUGGGAUGCAUUUUCACCAUAUUUUGUGCGAGCCGAAUAUGUGUAUUGUAGGUUUCAUAUGAAAACAGUUACAAGGUGUCUGCUUUCAUGUGAACCAAAAAGAUCACUAACCAUGACAUUUUUCACUAAAUAUGUCAGUUCAUCUUCAUCGUUGUUUUUUUAGUUUGAGCUUUAGUCAAUGGAUAGAUAAUAAAAAGUACUAUGAGGAUUUAUGUCAUCUAGUGUUUGCUAGAGUUAUUUCAUUUCAUAGAAGGGUGCAGUUUUGCCUACGGAUGCAUCCGUAGGUGUAGAGGUAAGGCGCACCUUCAAAUUUUAUCGUGGUAUAUAAUUUUGAGGUAAGAUGUUCUUAAGAUUAUCUCAAAAUUUAAUUUUUAUAUCUAAUUAUAAAAUUUUAAAUUUCAAAAAUAGUUAAAAUCAAAUAGAUCUAUAAACAUAUGAAAAUCUUGAAAAUAGACAGCGUAGAUAAUAUGUUGUAAAAUGCACUAUUUAUCAUACAUCUCGAUGUCGAGAUGAUCAAUCAAAGGGUUUUUCAAUAUUAAAACUUCCUUUUCCGAUAGAUUUUUGAGGGGCAUCCGUAGUAUAAGGUAGCAUCCUUAUAUAAACUUUUUCCAUAUAAUGUUUAAUUCUAAUUAAGGACAUAGAUAGUUAAUGAUAUAAAAAAUACAUAAAUCUUAAAACCCCACUGUAUAGUGGGCUACAGAUUACCAACAAAAGAUGAUUUCUGACUGAGAUGACUGCAUAUUCACUGAUGAACUUUUUUUUAGAGUUACAAGGAGAAUUUAUAAAGUAAAAUUGAAAAACACACAUAUUUUAGAACAAUAAAAGACAUAAACGCCAGUACUUUGCAUCAUUGACUGGUCAAUCGUUUGGGUGAUAACAAUGAGUUAAACAUCAAUUCCCUACCUUUGGACUUGUGAAAUUUUGGAUUAUAUAAUUUUCUGGGGUUUUCUUCCAAAUACCCAAUAUUUAUUACUUACUUUUUCCUUUCGAAAUCGUCACAGAAACAUCAUAAUGGUUCUUUUAAUGCUUUAAUAGGUUAUGUUAGUCUCUCAAAGAUCAUUAUACCAGGCAAGUACUCUUUUCUUAGGAAGAUUAGCAGUGAAAUUGAAACCCAGGAUGAAAAAAUAUGGCUUCGAUUGGUUUGCUCUAGGGACGAACUUCAAUGGUUGAACCCUUGAUCACCAGCUUAGAAACCAAGUCUCUACCACUAGUCCAAACUCCAAAGAACAUGUAUUAUGCAACUACUAAAGACCAGUCUGAUUUUCUGCACCAUUUUCCUUUUAGUGUUUUCAGUGAUGAAUAAGUUCUAUACAUAUUUUAUUCAUAUUUAAUAGAAUAACUUGGAGGUAGCUUUUUAUAAUACUUUGUCAACUAUCAUGGAUAGAUAAUGAUUUCUGAUAUCUGAUCGUUGUUCUUUGUUAACUGCUUGGUGAAAUAAUAGAUUAGAAUUUCUAAUCAUUUUAGUUAAGUGACUGCGAAUGUUAUUGAUGAUAGUUGGACAGUUUUAUGUCAUUUUCCAUUCAAAUGCGUGGCAUCCACCUGUUUUCCCACAGGGACUGUAUUGGUGCAGUUCAGUCUUGAAAGACUGCAACCUCCGAAGGCCGUAAUGUCACCCAGGGGCAAAGAAAUAGUCACUAUUAUACAUAUUCUUGGGGUAGCUCAAUGAGGAGGAUCCAAAGAUCCAGUGUGGACCAGCUAUGCAAGCAUAGAUUUUCAAAAAAUGCUUUGCAAGUUCGCAUGAUGGGAAAUAUCAACUCAACAGCAACCUCAACCAAAAACACGGGCCCAAAGGCACUAAGUUCUUAAGAGGAACUCUAACAAGGAAGGAGCAAGCAUGGAGAGAGGGGGCAAUGGUAAGCAAAUCAAGUUAACCAUAUGAAUCAAUCAAGUACCAGCAAAUCAACAGGUGAUUUCAUCAAUCGAUUGUAACAUUACCCAGGUACUAUAAAGAAAACAAGAUUUCAAUUGUGAAGUGCCAUAGAUGCCGUUUGGUGCUCAACAAUCUUCAAACAGAUUAAAGCUCAUAUUUCAAUUUUCAUCCAUGAAACUAAGGCCAACAACAAAUGGAGUGCUCUACUUUCUUUGGUUAUAAGGAGCAUGAAUUCAUAGGGAAUUUCUAACAUCAAAACACACAACAUAUGGGCAUUCUAUUGAAAGACUCAAUGUUUAUACCAACACAAAUCUUAAAGUCUCCAAUCAUGGCCAAAUUGUAACUAAAAUGGUCUGGUCUGCAUCAAAAAGGAAAGCACACACACAAAAAAGGAAGAAGAGAACCUAAGACAAUCUCUGAUCAACAGAGGACAGCAGCAUUCAC